AAAGAGUCAAACCACAGCUAUUCUUUCUUAUCACAGUUCCCAUCAUAAAUAAUAACCCAAGAAGACAUUCAGAAUAUUAGAGUCUAUUUUCUACUGGGAGACUGAAUUUGGAAAGAAUAUUGAGAAAAAACAUUUUGACCAGAAAUAGAUGAUGAUCACUCUUUAUAGAUGGAUUAAGUUCCCUUAGAUACAUGGGCUCAGUCCUUACCAGUAGACUGAAGCCAAUAAUCUGUCAAGUGUGGGUAAUGGGAACCCCCACAUGGUUGCUGCUGGUGCCUCACCUCUCUGGAUUAUGUUUACUUUAAGAUUUAUGUUAAAAAUAGAGACUUCAUGUGGAAGAAAUGGAUUGACUUAGUUAGCCAAGACCAUCACUACAUAUAUUCUGAGGACCUAGUAGAAUUCACAGGUUAUGGCAUUAUAUGUUAAAGCUAAACAAAACAAAACCUGAGUGAAACUAUGAACUAUGAAACAUGCCACACCAAGACAGAACAUUUUUUAAAAGAAUGGACCUAUUUAUACAUUUUCAAUUGGAAAAUAUUUAUUAUAUAUUUAUUUAUUAAAGAGUUUAUUUUUUACUGGGAUAUGAAGAUAAUACAAAGAGUAAAAAACAACAAACGUUUCUUUAUUGUGCCAUUACUUUAUUGUGGUGUCUUGCUUUGUAAAGAAGACGUUACUAUACCACGUUAACCAUAGAGAUUUAGAAUUUCUUUUUAAAAACAAACAUACUGUAGAUUAUAUUUUUUAUGCAACCAAUUGCCUUGCCUUCUAAAUGUAACAUUGGUUCCUUUUGGCCUAAGAAAAAUGCUUUCUCCUAUUUAUAUAACAUUUAAAAAAUGAAAAGAUUCUAAAUGUCCUAGAGAAAGACUUUGGUAUUUGAAGAACUUCUAAUGUUGAAAAGUAUUGAACAUUAUAAUCAACUUAUGUUUACUUAUCUUCUUAAUUCAGUGUGGCAAAGACCAUUUCUUUCGCCCAGUAUGAUUGUAGAAAGAAUGAGUCUUUGUGGCACCUCCAUUAACAAUGGUCAAAAGAGAUGGGUCUCAUUUCAUUCUUCUACAUAUCGAUAUCCAGUUUUCAAAACACCAUUUAUUAAAGAGAAUAUCUUUUCCUCAAUGUAUGUUCUUGGCAUGUUUGUUAAAAUGAGUUCACUUUAGGUAUGUGGAUUUGUUACUGGCUUAUCUAAUCUGUGUCAUUGGUCUAUGUGUCUGUUUUUAUGCUAGUACCAUGCUGUUUUAGUACUAUAGCUCUGUAGCAUAAUUUGAAGUCAGGUAAUGUGAUUCCUCCAGUUUUGUUCUUUUUACUCAGGAUAGUGAUAGCUAUUCUGGGUCUUUUGUGAUUCCAUAUAAAUUUUAGUAUUUUUUUCUAUUUCUGUCAAGAAUGUCAUCGGUAUUUUGAUAGGAGUUACAUUGAAUCUGUAGAUUGCUUUAGGUAGUAUGGACAUUUUAACAAUAUUGAUACUUCCAAUUCAUAAACAUGGAAU
rnacentral:lncRNA from 1 species